GUCAGGAGGGAGAGGAAUGUUGCAAAGUGCCCAGCACAGGCCCUGCCAUGGACUAGGUGCUCAUUUUUCUUCCCCUCCCAGACCAGAUGUCCUGCUCACUUUUUGUCCAUGCACCUGAAUGCUGGAAGAAAGGAAGUGACAGCAGUGGUCAGGACCGGGGACAUCUCGUCCUUCUCAUCCCACUCACCUGCAGACCCUCAGGCCUCCCUUCUGUGCUCAGGACCCUGAGGGCUGAACUGAACAUCUGGAGGGGCGUCUGGGGCUUGGGGGCCUCCUGAAGGGCACCAGGCCCUGAAACGCCAAAUCAUGUGCUGGAUGUGCUCUGUCACCAGCCCGCUGUCUCCUGAUUAUUCCUCCACCAGGCCUUGUCCAGCCAGGUUGGACUUGCUGUUCUCUUUCCCAGUGGUGUGCAUCUCUCUUCCUCCGAGGCCUCCACCCUUCUCAGAGCCUGCCCGCAGUACUAAUGACUCCUUCCCCAUGUCAGCCACAGCCACUCAGUUCCAAGCAGGGGAGGUAGUGUCUUUCUUCUCUGCUGGCCUUGACACAGCCCUGGAUACCCAGAGGAACUUCAUCAUAUAGAUUCGCUAUUAUUAGAACC
rnacentral:lncRNA from 1 species